rnacentral:rRNA from 1 species
AGUGGCGAACGGGUGAGUAACACGUGGGCAACCUGCCCAAAAGAGGGGGAGUAACACUUGGAAACAGGUGCUAAUACCGCAUAACCAUAGUUACCGCAUGGUAACUAUGUAAAAGGUGGCUAUACUACCGCUUUUGGAUGGGCCCGCGGCGCAUUAGCUAGUUGGUAGGGGUAAAGGCUUACCAAGGCAAUGAUGCGUAGCCGAAUUGAGAGGUUGAUCGGCCACAUUGGGACUGAGACACGGCCCAAACUCCUACGGGAGGCAGCAG